rnacentral:rRNA from 1 species
UACGAAGGGGGCUAGCGUUGUUCGGAAUUACUGGGCGUAAAGCGAACGUAGGCGGUGUUCCAUGUCAGAGGUGAAAGCCUGGGGCUCAACUCCAGAAUUGCCUUUGAAACGGGAACGCUUGAGUCCGAGAGAGGAUGGCGGAAUUCCUAGUGUAGAGGUGAAAUGCGUAGAUAUCGGGAGGAACACCUGUGGCGAAAGCGGCUCACUGGACCAUAACUGACGCUGAUGCACGAAAGCUGGGGGAGCAAACAGG